rnacentral:rRNA from 1 species
UAAAAGUCGUAACAAGGUUUCCGUAGGUGAACCUGCGGAAGGAUCAUUAUUGAAUAUACUUGAUGGGUUGUAGCUGGCUCUCCGGAGCAUUGUGCACACCUGUCUUGUUUUUUUAUUCAUCCACCUGUGCACUUUUUGUAGUCUUCUAGGGAUUGAGAGCAGCCAACUAUCGAGUCUUCUCGGAUGUGAGGAAUGCUUGCGCAAAAAAAAAGUGCAGCUCUCUUCAAAUGGUUGUGAACCUUCCCUGGAGUCUAUGUUUUUCAUAUACCACAUAGCAUGUUGUAGAAUGUAUUCAAUGGGCCUUUGUGCCUAUAAAUGAUCUAUACAACUUUCAGCAACGGAUCUCUUGGCUCUCGCAUCGAUGAAGAACGCAGCGAAAUGCGAUAAGUAAUGUGAAUUGCAGAAUUCAGUGAAUCAUCGAAUCUUUGAACGCACCUUGCGCUCCUUGGUAUUCCGAGGAGCAUGCCUGUUUGAGUGUCAUUAAAUUCUCAACCCCUCCAGUUUUCUGUGAUGGGGCUUGGAUAUGGAGAUUUGCUGGCCUUUUAAAGGUCAGCUACUCUGAAAUGCAUUAGCGGAACCGUUUGCGAUCCGUCACAGGUGUGAUAAUUAUCUACGCCGUGUGGUCGCUCUCUGUCUGUUCAGCUGCCAAUCGUCCAGUCUUCAUGGACAAUUAUAUUGAAUAUUUGACCUCAAAUCAGGUAGGACUACCCGCUGAACUUAAGCAUAUCAAU